rnacentral:rRNA from 1 species
GAGCGGUAACAGGGAGUAGCUUGCUACUCUGCUGACGAGCGGCGGACGGGUGAGUAAUGUCUGGGGAUCUGCCUGAUGGAGGGGGAUAACUACUGGAAACGGUAGCUAAUACCGCAUAACGUCGCAAGACCAAAGAGGGGGACCUUCGGGCCUCUUGCCAUCGGAUGAACCCAGAUGGGAUUAGCUAGUAGGUGGGGUAAUGGCUCACCUAGGCGACGAUCCCUAGCUGGUCUGAGAGGAUGACCAGCCACACUGGAACUGAGACACGGUCCAGACUCCUACGGGAGGCAGCAGUGGGGAAUAUUGCACAAUGGGCGCAAGCCUGAUGCAGCCAUGCCGCGUGUGUGAAGAAGGCCUUCGGGUUGUAAAGCACUUUCAGCGAGGAGGAAGGCAUUAAGGUUAAUAACCUUGGUGAUUGACGUUACUCGCAGAAGAAGCACCGGCUAACUCCGUG